CCUACGGGGUGCUGCAGUGGGGAAUAUUGGACAAUGGGCGAAAGCCUGAUCCAGCCAUGCCGCGUGUGUGAAGAAGGCCUUCGGGUUGUAAAGCACUUUCAGUGGGGAAGAAAGCCUUGGGGCUAAUACCCUCGAGGAAGGACAUCACCCACAGAAGAAGCACCGGCUAACUCCGUGCCAGCAGCCGCGGUAAUACGGAGGGUGCGAGCGUUAAUCGGAAUUACUGGGCGUAAAGCGCGCGUAGGCGGUCUGAUAAGCCGGUUGUGAAAGCCCCGGGCUCAACCUGGGAACGGCAUCCGGAACUGUCAGGCUAGAGUGCAGGAGAGGAAGGUAGAAUUCCCGGUGUAGCAGUGAAAUGCGUAGAGAUCGGGAGGAAUACCAGUGGCGAAGGCGGCCUUCUGGACUGACACUGACGCUGAGGUGCGAAAGCGUGGGUAGCAAACAGGAUUAGAUACCCGAGUAGUC
rnacentral:rRNA from 1 species